AAGUCGCAAUGAAAUUGAAAUGAAAAACUAUAUAUGUAUUUUUAAUAGUGUGGUAUUAUUAACAAAUGACUUAUCUGUGAGCUUCAUUAUUUUUUAAAAAUUCGUGUGUGCUCAUAAUCUUUAAUCAAAAAUGCAAAUCUCCUCCCCUCCUCAAAACGAUCUCUCUUCACUUCCGGUCAAAAGUAUGGCAGGUGGGCGGGGUCCGGGAGAAGAUCGCAGUGAUUAGCAAUUAGCAACACGACCCAACUUCAAACGAUCCAAUCAGAUCUCGAUGGACAAAUUCAAAUCCAGCCCUGCCUUAUUUCAUCUCAAAAGCCGUUUCAUUCGGAUAUACGUCACCACGGGGAAAAUAAGGCAAUCGCUACUUCCGUUUCAUGGCGACUUUAACCGAUGGUGGUUUCAAACACACGUGGGUACAGUCAACUGCACCUAUGACAUUUAGAAUCCCACACUCUAAAAACCGUUGGGUUAUUUGUUUUACCCAAUAGGUGGGUUAAACAUAUUGGGUUGUUCUGUUGGGUUAUUCCUAGCUUGUAUUGGGUUAUUUCCAUAACAACCCAGAGAGUUGGGUUAAAAUCGGGCUCACGUCACGCAUUUUGAAUUUCAACGGUUGACCGGUGCCACUGCUGAGUGCGGACAGACACGAGAGGUACGUUCUAAAAUAUAUAUCUCUGUGUAAUGUUUUAUUUUGCUACAAAGUGUCUUUAAGCUCUAAAACACAGUAAACUAUCAGUCACGUUUAAAUAAGUGUACAAAAACGCUGCUGUCUAGUUUUUGUCCGUUACACCUGUUCCAUUCAUUAACUGUUACCGAUGCCAAACGCGUUUUUAAGCCAUCAUAAACGUAGAGAGACAUCGCAAUUUAUUUUAAUACUAAACAGCACCAACAGCAUGGUCCCUUACAAAAAUGAAUCAUUUCUUCUUUUAGUAGUAUAACGUUAGUUUCAUGGCGUAUUGAUUGCCAUAUUGCUUUAACCAUGCUUUCUGUAACAGACAAUGUUUUUGGUUUAAAGUGUAGUAAAAUCCGUUUUUUAACUUUUGUAAGGGAUGCAACCGGCUGCUUUUUGCUCCAAAUAUUUUAUUUUGGCGGUCUGUGUUAUAGACACAGAGCUGUAAUAUAAAUGUGAUUCUGAAUGUAAAUGUCUUCAGAAAUGACUCGAUGGCAUUUUAUUGUCGUUUUACUUCAGUAUAAUCCCUGAUAAAGCGCUGUUUAAUCCUGCACGUACUGUUUACUGUAACCCCGGUAACGGUUGAAUUUGCAAUUCAGCGCCAUCUACUGUCAAAGUAGAGUAUUUAUUCAGCGUGCCAGAUGUGUUUGCUUUGAGAUUUAAUUAAUUAUUAUUUUCUUUAAAUGUAGACAUUCUUGGAGAUGUUGCAUUAAAAACCUUACAAAAUGGCCAGCAAGAUGGUUCAGCAUACAGUACCAAGAGGCAAAGCAAACAUUUAUUAAUUUGCAACCUGUCAGAAAACAAACAUAAUUCAGUAUUUGGAGGAGGAGGUAUGACGAAGACCCCAUGUCCUCCUAUGGGAUGAAUUCGACUAAUCACAAGCCUUUGUUAUCGUGGGGAGGCAUGGCCCUGGAGCAAGACCAGCAGUUGACAUGUGCUUUAAUAGUUUUUUUUUACAUUUUAUACAGAGUAUCCCAAGCCUUUCACUACUGUUAAGUAGUUUCUGUAACACACAAUACAUUUUGUACCAUGUGAUGUUUCCUGAACACACUGUCACCUGCUUAAAGGGAUAGUUCCCCCAAAAAUGAAAAUUGUCAUAAUUUUCUUCCUCUCCUGUCGUUACAUACCUGUACACAUUUUUUUGUUCUGAUGACCACAAAGGAAGAUAUUUUGAGUAAUGUUUAAACCAAACAGAUCAUGAGCCCCAUUGACUGUCAUAGUAGGAAAAAAGAAUACUAUGAAAAUGAAUGGGGCUCAUGAUCGGUUUGAUUUCAAACAUUCUUUGAAAUAUACCUUUGUGGUUAUCAAAGUAAAGACUUAUAUACAGGUUUAUAACAACAUGAGAGGGUGAAAAUUAUGACAAAAUGUGUGAACUAUGCUUUUAAGCAGUUUGUAGUUGGAUAAGAUUGAGUAGAUUUGUUUUGUUCUUAUGUUUUUGUUUAUUUAUGUAUGUAUAUAUUUAUGUAUGUGUGUAUGUAUUUAUGCUUCUAUACAUGUCUGUAUUUAUACAUUUAAAUGCAGGUGCAAAUGACUAAAUGAAAAUAAAGCAUUAUAAAUGUA